ACCCUGGUGGCGAGUGGCGAACGGGUGAGUAAUACAUCGGAACGUGCCCGGUAGUGGGGGAUAGCCCGGCGAAAGCCGGAUUAAUACCGCAUACGACCUACGGGUGAAAGCGGGGGACCGCAAGGCCUCGCGCUAUCGGAGCGGCCGAUGUCGGAUUAGCUUGUUGGUAGGGUAAAGGCCUACCAAGGCGACGAUCCGUAGCUGGUCUGAGAGGACGACCAGCCACACUGGGACUGAGACACGGCCCAGACUCCUACGGGAGGCAGCAGUGGGGAAUUUUGGACAAUGGGCGCAAGCCUGAUCCAGCCAUGCCGCGUGCGGGAAGAAGGCCCUCGGGUUGUAAACCGCUUUUGUCAGGGAAGAAACGCUUCGGGCUAAUACCUCGGAGUAAUGACGGUACCUGAAGAAUAAGCACCGGCUAACUACGUGCCAGCAGCCGCGGUAAUACGUAGGGUGCGAGCGUUAAUCGGAAUUACUGGGCGUAAAGCGUGCGCAGGCGG
rnacentral:rRNA from 1 species